rnacentral:ribozyme from 1 species
CAAAGCGACAGGCGUCCGAAGCCCAGCGCAAUUCUAAUCGUUUUCCCUUCUGAUCGUCAUUUAUUUUCUUUGCCCAUUUCUUUCUUUCUUUAUCGAACCAAAGCUUA